rnacentral:rRNA from 1 species
UAAUACGAAGGGCCGGAGCGUUAAUCGGAAUCACUGGGCUUAAAGCGUGCGUAGGCGGACUUGAAGGCGUCCUGUGAAAUCCCUCGGCUCAACCGAGGAACUGCAGGGCGAACCAUGAGUCUCGAGACAGGUAGAGGUUGUCGGAACGAUAGGUGGAGUGGUGAAAUGCGUUGAUAUCUAUCGGAACGCCAAUGGAGAGGUCAGGCAACUGGGCCUGUUCUGACGCUAAGGCACGAAAGCGUGGGGAGCGAACGGGAUUAGAUACCCCGGUAGUCCACGCCGUAAACGAUGCGUACUAGGUUGGGGAAGCUCUGACGCUGUUCCCGGCUGAAGCAAAAGUAUUAAGUACGCCGCCUGGGGAGUACGGUCGCAAGGCUA